CUAGGUACAAGCAGAUCAUACUUACUGCCUACAUCUGGAGCCGCCUCAAAUUUUGUACCUCCAUGAUAGUCGGCUUCUUCUUGCAUAAGAGAGCAUCGAUCAAUCCUUACUAGAUGAGCACGUCUUUUACCUUCGCUUGCUACAAGAAAAAAUUACUCUUUCCAUCAAACAUGUUGAUCUCCACCUUGAUUGAGCUUAUCUUCUCCAUCUUCUAUCUCGAUCACC
rnacentral:lncRNA from 1 species